AGAGUGAACGCUGGCGGUAGGCCUAACACAUGCAAGUCGAACGGCAGCACAGUAGGAGCUUGCUCUUACGGGUGGCGAGUGGCGGACGGGUGAGGAAUACAUCGGAAUCUACCUUUUGGUGGGGGAUAACGUAGGGAAACUUACGCUAAUACCGCAUACGCCCUUCGGGGGAAAGCCGGGGACCAGCAAUGGCCUGGCGCUGAUAGAUGAGCCGAUGUCGGAUUAGCUAGUUGGUGAGGUAAUGGCUCACCGAGGCGACGAUCCGUAGCUGGUCUGAGAGGAUGAUCAGCCACACUGGAACUGAGACACGGUCCAGACUCCUACGGGAGCAGCAGUGGGGAAUAUUGGACAAGUGGGCGCAAGCCUGAUCCAGCCAUACCG
rnacentral:rRNA from 1 species